rnacentral:lncRNA from 1 species
UCGCUUGCGAGCGCUAAGCGUUAUGGCCAAAACUGCAUUCCUCUACUAGAAGCAGUUUCAAACGCGAUCAGUACGAGUCCAAGUUGCCGAGUUACUAAGCAGG